CCUACGGGGGGCAGCAGUAGGGAAUAUUGCUCAAUGGGGGAAACCCUGAAGCAGCAACGCCGCGUGGGGGAUGAAGGUUUUCGGAUUGUAAACUCCUUUUGUUAGAGAAGAUAAUGACGGUAUCUAACGAAUAAGCCCCGGCUAACUCCGUGCCAGCAGCCGCGGUAAUACGGAGGGUGCAAGCGUUACUCGGAAUCACUGGGCGUAAAGGGCGCGUAGGCGGGAUAGCAAGUCAGAUGUGAAAUCCUAUGGCUUAACCAUAGAACUGCAUUUGAAACUGUUAUUCUAGAGUAUGGGAGAGGUAGGUGGAAUUCUUGGUGUAGGGGUAAAAUCCGUAGAGAUCAAGAGGAAUACUCAUUGCGAAGGCGACCUGCUAGAACAUAACUGACGCUGAUGCGCGAAAGCGUGGGGAGCAAACAGGAUUAGAUACCCCAGUAGUC
rnacentral:rRNA from 1 species